GACGUAGGGCGCGAGCGUUGUCCGGAUUUAUUGGGCGUAAAGAGCUCGUAGGCGGCUUGUCGCGUCGUCUGUGAAAUCCCGCGGCUCAACUGCGGGCUGGCAGUCGAUACGGGCAGGCUGGAGUUCGGUAGGGGAGACUGGAAUUCCUGGUGUAGCGGUGAAAUGCGCAGAUAUCAGGAGGAACACCGGUGGCGAAGGCGGCAUCCUGGACCAAAACUGACGCUGAAUAGCGAAAGCCAGGGGAGCAAACGGG
rnacentral:rRNA from 1 species